rnacentral:tRNA from 1 species
UGGGAGAUAGCUCAGUGGUUAAGAGCACUGGCUGCUCUUCCAGAGGAACUGGGUUCAAUUCCUAGCACCCAC